rnacentral:rRNA from 1 species
UACGUAGGGUGCAAGCGUUGUCCGGAAUUAUUGGGCGUAAAGAGCUCGUAGGCGGUCUGUCGCGUCUGCUGUGAAAACUCGGGGCUUAACCCCGGGCCUGCAGCGGGUACGGGCAGACUAGAGUGCGGUAGGGGAGACUGGAAUUCCUGGUGUAGCGGUGAAAUGCGCAGAUAUCAGGAGGAACACCGGUGGCGAAGGCGGGUCUCUGGGCCGUAACUGACGCUGAGGUGCGAAAGCGUGGGGAGCAAACAGG